rnacentral:rRNA from 1 species
AUUGAACGCUGGCGGCAGGCCUAACACAUGCAAGUCGAGCGGAAGAAGGGAGCUUGCUCCUGGAUUCAGCGGCGGACGGGGGAGUAAUGCCUAGGAAUCUGCCUGGUAGUGGGGGAUAACGUCCGGAAACGGGCGCUAAUACUGCAUACGACCUGAGGGAGAAAGUGGGGGAUCGUCGGACCUCACGCUAUCAGAUGAGCCUAGGUCGGAUUAGCCAGUUGGUGGGGUAAAGGCCUACCAAGGCGACGAUCCGUAACUGGUCUGAGAGGAUGAUCAGUCACACUGGAACUGAGACACGGUCCAGACUCCUACGGGAGGCAGCAGUGGGGAAUAUUGGACAAUAGGCGAAAGCCUGAUCCAGCCAUGCCGCGUGUGUGAAGAAGGUCUUCGGAUUGUAAAGCACUUUAAGUUGGGAGGAAGGGCAGUAAGUUAAUACCUUGCUGUUUUGACGUUACCAACAGAAUAAGCACCGGCUAACUUCGUG